rnacentral:rRNA from 1 species
UGUAAGCGUAUACCAAAGUUGUUGCAGUUAAAACGCUCGUAGUCGGAAUUUGGCAGUUCCGGAUGUGUGCACGUCGUGUGCGCACUUCGCGGGGAUUGCUUUUGUGGUCUUGCGUAGGAUGAGGCACUUUUAUUAGUGAACGUCCUCACGCAACCACUUUUUACUGUGAGAAAAUCAGAGUGCUCAAAGCAGGCAUUUGCCGUGAAUGUAUUAGCAUGGAAUAAUAGAAUAGGACUUGGUUCUAUUUUGUUGGUUUGUUGGGACUGAGUAAUGAUUAAGAGGGACAGUUGGGGGCAUUUGUAUUUCGGUGCUAGAGGUGAAAUUCUUGGACCGUCUGAAGACUAACUACUGCGAAAGCAUUUGCCAAGAAUGUCUUCAUUAA